rnacentral:rRNA from 1 species
UAAUGGCAGGUCAGCAUACUGCCGUGAAUACGUUCCCGGGCCCUUGUACACACCGCCCGUCACACCAUGAGAGUUAGGAAUACCCGAAGCCUGUGAGCCAACUUUCUAAGAGGCAGCAGUCGAAGGUAGAACUAAUGAUUGGGGUGAAGUCGUAACAAGGUAAC